CCGGCUAUAACUACCAAAUUUUAAGAAAAAUUUGAAGAUGGCAAAACCAAGGUUUCUAGAAUCACUUGUUUAUAUUUCUUGAUGUAACAAUCCAGCUCUGAAUCAUUCUGGCAAAAAUUGCAGCCAAUACCUUGUUUGGCUCAACUGACUACCAGCCACUGACCUCCACAGUUUCCAUUAUCACUGGUUGUACCUUCCCCCAGCGCUAGAUGCCAACAGCUAACCUUGAAUACUGGCAGUAUUACAAGCUCUCACCUAACAGCAGGAGAAGGAUGCACGAAUGCAUAGCUGUCAAAACUCUGCUGCCUAUUCAAGAUGGAAUAAUGACAGGCAUGGCCAAAUGGAGACUCAAGGCAGACUAGUACCUGACCUAACAUCCACAGGUCCAAAGAAUAAUAAAGCUGAUUGUGGAGCACUAAUACACCAUCAACACCCAAAUCAUCCUCUCGUAUUGUGACUUAUAAUUCAUAAAAUGAUCAUCUUGAGGCAGGGCAUGGUGGCUCACGUCUGUAAUCCCAACACUUUGAGAGGCGGAGGCGGGUGGAUCAUGAGGUCAGGAGAUCAAGACCAUCCUGGUUAACACGGUGAAAC
rnacentral:lncRNA from 1 species